GGGAUAUGAGGAGUGGAUGGAUCUCGCGAAUUUAAUGCGAGUGGAGUGUCCUCCCUAAAGCCUGGUUACGACAACCUGGGCACUCUUCGAACUUCCAAUCUGAUCCC